UCCCUGGUGGUCCAGUGGUUAGGUCUUAGUGCUCUCACUGCUGUGGGCCCAGGUUCAAUCCCUGGUCAGGGAA
rnacentral:tRNA from 1 species